CUUGUACAAGCACUCUGUUGCCAUACAUGUUUCAACAUAGUUACUUUUGAUAAUGCUUAAUCUUUGAGUGGUUUAAUUAAGUUUGGAAAUUUUGAAAAUGGCGCUAAUUCCAUCUCCAUUGUAACUCAAGAGGAUGCAUGUUAGGCCCAACAUUAUGAGGAUAUGAGACAGCCGCAUUCUUUGUUCUUGAGGAGAAAAUUUGAGAAAUGAUAAAAAGUACGUGUGGCUAUCUCACAUCCUCAUUUACUUCAUUUGCUUUUGAUCAAGCUUUUAUGAACAAGUUUAGUAUAAUUGCAUAAACACUUGAUCAAGCUUUUUCUUUACUCUUAUAUAGUAUGUUUUGAGUAGUAAGGGUCUUAGGUAAUGCUUUCUUAUUGUCCCUUCAUAUGGUCGUAUCGUGGCUAUUAUUCAGUUGAAACCGUAACGAUAAGUGCAUGAUUCUUUCUUUUCCUACAUAUCGUGAGGAUAGCAAUUGCUAUAGGCUUACUGCCCGACCUGGGAAAUUAAUAGGCUGCAUUACAGAUAAGAACAAAUAAUGAUCUCUGUGUUUCUGAGUGAGAGUUACUUAGGAAACUUUUUCAAUUGAAUUCGCAUCCUGCUUUUAAUGUGGCGUAACUGUUUUGAUAUUUGAUCAGUUCAUGUGUUCAGCUUCUAGUGGGCCUGAAAGUGCGCUAUCCCCAACGAAUUACUAUUCUAAGAGGAAAUCAUGAGAGCCGGCAGGUUUAUGGGUUGAUAAAGAAGUGUUGUGACUUUUUGCUGAAGAUAUAGGUAUGAUCUUGCUAGUGUGAUGGCUGUCAUUAUCGCUUGGUUGAUUGAAGCCUUUUUGUUGAUACUUAUGGGAUGGAGAGAUUUUGGAAGGACUGUUUUGGUUGAAGCCUUUUUGUUAAUAUUUUGGCGUAAGGUUUGAACUCCACUUUUGGAAUAUAUAGAUGUUUUGGAAAGUCUUUUUGUUGAUAUUUAGUGACAAGGCUUGUACUCCACUUUUGGGAUACAUAGAUAUUUUGGAAGGCCUUUUUGUUGAUAUUUGGUAACAAGGCUUGUACUAGAUAGAAAUGUUGGAAGGACAUUUAGUAUAUUGAAUUUCUUUUGUAAUGGUAAUCGCUUUGAUGUUUGGA